rfam:Picea glauca, whole genome shotgun sequence.
ACAUGCUUACAACAUAGCAUUAAUGCAUCGAAUCCCAUUAGAUCUUCCCAGUUAAGUGUGCUCGGGCUAGAGUGCUACUAAUAUGGGUGACUUCUGGGAAGUAUUAGUAUUUUACAUGCC